UGCAAGAGCAGCCAGAGCCAGCAGGCCAGCCCCCACCCCGCCCGCGGGGGCUGGGGGCUGCAGUCUCCCCCCUCCCCAGCACAAAUCCUCCAAUGCCGAGCCAGGAGCAAGGCCCCCGCCCGAAGCAUAUGGGGGGGAGGGGGCUGCACUCACCCCCUCCCCCGAACAACCAGGCUGCAGCUCGACCCCCCCCCAACCACCCCGCCCGCAGAGAGGAGGAGGGGCGGGGGGGCAGCAGUAUCACCCCCCCGCAAGCGCAAACCGUCCAAUGCAAACCCUCCCUCCUGGACUCGCUGCAGAGCGGCCCCCACCUAUUCUCCCCACGCCUGAGGAAAGCUGCUUCUAAAGGGGCCAGGGGCUUCAGGAAGAGCAGCCCCCCCGCACUCAGACCUUCACUGCACCGCCUUCUCCGUGAGGGCAAGAAAGCUGGACACAAGGAGCGGCGGGGGGAGGACGAAAAGGAGUACAGGAGUUCGCUCCCAAUCCAGGGCAAAACCCCUCCUGAGACGAACAAUUGGGGAGGCGCUGCUCGGGGGGGAGCUGCACGAGUCAGCUGCACGAGACAACCCCGCGUCCCUCCAUGUUGGGGAAACCCGGACUGCCCGGUUUAGCUUUGUGCUGACCAUUGGGAUCCUGGAGCUGAACAAGCCCCAAGAUCCGUCCAUGCAAGGCUCCCUCCACAGUGAGGCUGGGUUCCUCAGGCCCUGAGCGAAGCAUGCCAAGCACUCUCACUACUUUGAUUGAAUAAGGGGCUUUCUCUGGACUGGCUUCCUUGUGCCCUCAGGGUCUCUCCAUCAUAAAAUCCUAUUUUAAUGGCUUCACAAUAAUUCAGUUCUGGAUGAAAUUUGACUUGUUUGGUCUUGGUGUGGGAAGCCACAGUAGUUUGUUUUUGCACGUGUUCCCCCUACUUCCACCACUAAGUUCAUAUUUUAUUCUAAAAAAGUAUUUAAAAAGUCACAGGCUUCAAGUGUACUUUUCUACACUUGUGAAAUUAAAUUAGAUAUGGUAUUAAAAAAAAAUUCCAGCUGAUCAAUUCAUAAAUAUGGUUUCUUCACUUAAAAUGUUAUACUAGGGAAAAUACGGAAUUUUGUGCACAAAAGAACAUCCCAAACUUUCAGGUUUUUUCCCCCAAGAGCUCAGACCAGAGCACAUGUAUAAAAUAGUGGUGGAGCUGAAAGAGCAUUCUGGGUAUUGAUGUGCAAAUGAGAACACCAAGCUUCCAACUUCCAAAACGGAGUUAUUGUAAUAACACUUAAGGCCAUAUAGUGCCCUCAAUCUGUGUGCUGUAUUUCUGUUGAUGUCAGUGGGAGUUGCUUGUCUACAUUGAAGGCAGAGUAUUGCCAGUGUAGCUUUUUACCACUGGAUCAACGUUUGUGUAUAUUACAUAUACAAACAUGCAGUUAGGUGAUCUGACUAUUUGGAUUGCAACGGUUACAAAUCCACUUUAAAUACUCACAAGUUGCAUAGAUACUACAUGCUAGUAGUAUUGUUCUCCAGAUGUUUGCCUGUCACAGAAACAAGAGUACUCAAUAUAGUGAGGGAAAAAUAUUUGUAUUUAAGCAUACAUGUCAGGCAACAAUUCACAGGCUUCACAUACAUAGUGCAAAGAGAUCAUCAGGAACUCUCUUCUCUUUUCUGACAAGUUGUGCGCGAUUGGCCUGAGACUUGGAAGACUGAGUUCUUUAUUCUUUAAGUGGUGGCUGCAAUCUACCUCCCCACACCAAAUCAUCACCUGAUAUUGGCCACUGUUGGAAGAUGUGAUACUGAGCUAGAUGGACCUUUGGUCUGACCCAGUACGGCCAUUAUUAUGGAAAA